AAGAUUUCAAUGUCUGUUCCUGGAGAUGCCAAGUUAUGGAAACCUGUUGGGGUGGACCAAGCCCAGGGGCUGGGAGGAGCCAUGAGGUUCUAGAAGUGGAGUUCACUAAGCUGAGGAUGGGGCUUGGUAUGAAGACCAAGGGGUUGGUGAGGGAGAACCUGCUCUGUCCAACAUGUGUGGAGGUGGGAGUCUUCUAUCAUAGCUGUCAUCUCUGGGAUCUGGUGAGUGAGCAUGGGCUGCAAACUAAUAUGGUUGCAGCCUUGGAUGCCAAACAUGAGGCCUUCCGUGCAUCUGGGCCAGGGAAGUCCAUCAGCCAUGGACAAGGAUGCAAACGACCUGUCUUGGACACUGACAAAAAAUAAGAAGUUACAGCCCCAGAAGUUGGCGAGACUCCAGUUCUCUCUCCUGUUGGCAUUUGGAAGCAAGAAUGAACCCUCUUCAAACUGAUUCAGGCUCCAAGUUCCUUAGAAAAUUUGCAAGGAGGAGUCUGCUUGACACAGAGAUGUUGGACUUCUACUAAUAGGUCUUGAAUGAUUAAUUAAGACAAUAUGAAAGAAGGUGUUCUAUAUCAUAUCCUGAAUUGGAGAAGCAGCUCAUGUAGUUACUUUGCAGCUUAGCCAGAACUAUGCUCAUGUAAAGCUAUCUGAGAGAGCUCUCUCAACUUGGAAGGAACAUCUUUCCCAGUGCUUAGGGGCAGCCAAGCUGAAUACCUGUGGGACCACAGAACAAGUUUAGUGAACUCUUCUGUGGACCAGUUAUUGUGGGGGGUACAGGUUCCUGAGACCUGGGCUGAGCCAGAGAGUGGAAGGUGGGAGAAGUUGUGUUCCAGAAGACUUGCUUGGAUUCAUGGCGUACCCAUAGCCAUGUGAAAGAGACCCAUGGGGCCACUUGUACUCUUCACUUGUUCUCCUCAAGGUCAGGGCUCUUUUGACUUUUUACAGGGAGUCUCCUAGAAGACAGGCAUGGUGAGGAGAAAAGGAUCCAGUGCAGUGAGCUUGACAAAAUGAGCAUUUCACCUGCACUGGAUGCUGUUGGUGCCCUGUCCAGAUUCCCUUUGCCAGGAGGGGGUAUGGUUUCUCCAUUGCUGUGGAGUGGUUGUGUUGGCUGCUGAAGGCUCACAAGGGGCUCUUUCUCCCUAGAAUUUCCCUCAGCUGAGUGCGAACUAUCUCCUCUUGGAGGUUACAUGUCCCCUGCUGGGGAAGGGCAGCUUUUAGCCAACAAUUGACAUGAUACAAAAGACUGGCCCUCUUACCUCAAAGUAUGUCUACUCUGUGGUGCCAUUCAUGCCCAGAGCUCUAUGCUAGACUCCAGCUGAGAGCACAUCCUUGCUCAGCUCUGUCCUCUGCCCCAUUUGCUUUUCUCAUUCCCAUUCUCCUGAGGUCCCUCCUCCGCUAGAUUAUGUGCACCCAAUCUCCAUCUCAGAUGCUGCUCCCAGGAGAGCACAUUUGUUCUCCUCGUGAACUUGGAGAAGUGUUUGGUGAAGAAAGAACAAAGGUUCCUGGGCAAUGGAUGGGGGAGGCGGAGGAGGGAGGCACAGUUCUCUUUCUUCACGGAUGGAAAUAAGCUUCCCAAAGACUGGGGGUGAAAGUCACUGAGAAAGGUCUUUGUGCAAGUCCCAGGGGAUUGCAGAGAACCACUCAGGAUUUGAGGGGCCAAGUUCAGCUCUCAAAGAAGGCACGUGGGCUAGGCUGUGAUCUGGGACUACAUCCUAGUACUGGUCAGCAUGGUUUGGGAAUACACCUAAUCACAGACUUUUGUUUUUCUUCCCUUCUCUUUGUCUCCCCUCGCUCAUGCUCUCUCUUCCCCAAUUCACUCCUCACCUCUAGAACUUUCCAUCCAUUUUGGGUAAGGCAGGGUUUCCAUGAAGGGACAAGUCACUGAGAAUAUUCUUGCUUAGUGAAACUGCAUUGGUCACUGACUUUGACCUGUGGCCUCUCACCCUGACGCAGCUACAUGAAGCACUAAGCACAGCUGUGCCUGCAGAAGCUCACUUUGGACCAGAAGUCAGUUCCUUGUGAUUUUUCCCACUCCGCAUUCCUGUCCCUCUAUUCUUAGUCUGUCUUUCCCUGAAUCUCCUGGUCCAGUCUUUUGGAUUUCUAGAAUUCCGGUUUCUCUUUACAGGGAUCCAGAUUACCAGACUGGUUGUACCCAUAUUUCUUUUCUGCUUAAAAUCUUUCACUGGUGUCCCAUGCCCUCGAAGGUCUUCUGCAUGGCUUGCAACCCUUGCUGGGUCCACCUUUCCUCACCUGUGUGGCCAGUCCCCCUACCCUGUGCACCUCCUGCCUUGGCCCUGCAUCUCACACAGCUGUUUCUCAAAUGACUACUUGUCCAUCUGUGCCCGUGCGUCUUCUGCUCCUUCCCCUUAGAUUGCCUCUCUCCCUAAUUGACCUUCCAGGAGUCACGUUUUUUCCUCUCUGCACUUUUUCUUGUCAUCCUGGAAGCAACUGUCUACCCCCUUGCCUCGAGUCCUUUCCUGCCUUUCUUCCCCCACAUCUUUUGGUACUGACUUUUUACUGGUAACUGCACCAUUGUAUUGCACUUUUAGGCUACACAGUUGGACUAUAAGCUUUUUGGGGACAGGGCUAUGUCCAACACCUCUUUGAAGCUCAGGUGUGCCGCACAGCUGUGCGGGCCCAGAGCACCUGGGGGGGAUAGAGUGCCUUGGGCUCACCAUCCAUGUCAACUUCCUUCGAGUGCCCUUUUUAUAUGGAGGGGCUGGAACAUCAAAACCCACAUUUGCCAGACUCCCCGGAAGCUAGGGUUCUGAACGAGAUUGAAACCGAGGCCAACUUUCUGCCGCUUCCAUUGGUUGUUCUGGCUAGCAGGCUUUGGCCACUGAGAUGCUGGGGUUUUCUGUAGUGCGUUCCAGUGUCUAGUCGCUAAGUUCAUGGGUGUUGAGGGGCAGGGAUCAGGGCAUCCAUGUGUUUUUUCUUGUGGAGGUCUGCAGAGUAUGCCCUUACUCUAGAACAAGCGCUGCACCGGGGACCUGUGAUGCCCCGUGCCGGUGAGGUGUUGUGGUCCUAUGUGUGUGGCAUCAGAAACAGCUCCUCUGCUGAGCUAGUUCAGCUGUGUGGUUUCAGCCUCCCGAAAGUUCUCUAAAUCCCUGGUGUCUCGCAUUAAAUCUACUUUUGCUUAGUACAGUUCAAGUAGUUUUCAGUUUCUGCAACUGCCUCCUGGCUAAUAGAGUAUGUUUGCAGAAUAUUGAAAGGCCAAGUGGUUCUCAUCUAAUUCAUUUCGCCUAUGAGGACACUGAGGUCCAGAAAGAAUACCAAACAAGCCAAUGGUAGAGCCAGGACUGGAACCAGGACCCUUGUCUCCUAGUCUAGUGAUCUUUCCCCUGCAUCGAAGUGGCAUUUCUGCCUUCACUGCCUCCCCCCUCCCCUGCCUUGUGCUCUAGAAUGAAUCUCUCUCUUCAACAGAUGGGAUAGAGAGGGAUUGGACCAUUGCUUUUAAUAUUUGUGUAGUAUAUAGAUAUAUUCGUGUUCAUAUUCAACAUAAGUAAUAAUAAACGAUAUUGACUGCUUUCUCUUCCCUUCCCCACGUCAUUUCCCCACCCUGUCCCCCAAACACUAUUUUCCGGAAUAAUUUUCCUUGCCUUGGGGUUUGCAUCUAGGGAGAUCCAAGUAAGAGAGGAAUUCUUCCCUGUCGGUAAGAUGGCAAGUCUCAGGAAAGGCUAUGGGCCCUGGAGAAGGUAGUUUGGGGAGCAGGAUGGCAAGAGAUUUAGAGUUGGAAGGCCCUUGUCAGAGCCCACGACACUUGUUCCUGGACGUGGGCCACAUGUGGACCCCAGGUGCCUUGCAGGUGGCGUCCUUCCAUGCUGCUGCCAAUCGAGAUCCUUGCUUUUGACCCCAAGGUAGUCUCCAAAGAGUAGAUUAGUUUCGGUAAGGUCUCUAAUGUCAAGUAAGAGGCUCUCAGUCACAUCCCAUGAAAGAAAAGAAAUGUCUGGUCCUUUGGUCAAGCUGCAAAUCGUUCAGAAAAUGGAAUAAUUACCUUGAGUCUACUGUUUGAGUCUACCGACUUGUCAGAUAUAAGGUUUGCUUCAAAGAGUCUUGCCUGCAUUCGGCCAGUCCUAAAAACCUCCUGAAAACUAGCAUAGUGCAUAUGGUCUCUCUGUCUUCACAGAACAAUAAUGUGUGGGGUGGGGGCCCCAGGGGACACAGAAGGAUGAUAGGGGCACACAGCUUGGACCUCCUUCAGCACGCAGCCCGAGGCAGUAAAAAAAAAAAAAUCUCCAGAGAAAUGAUAAGGAGUUUUAAAAAUAAAAGCCAAUAGGGCAGCCUGCAGCGUCCCAUUUGCUGGCACCUCUUCUUCCCCAACUCUGGCUCUCAGCACAUGACUGGACCCAAGGCUCAGUCCCCAGGGCUCUGCCUCCUCGGCCACCUUGGGCCCAAGGGCUCUGCCCCAAGGUCCAGCCUGGCCAAGAGUGGUCAGCAGAGCAGAGAGAAUCAUAAUGACCCACAUGCUCAGAGAUAAGGCCACAGCUUGUUGAUUUAGGGGCUUGGUUAUUCUCUAAAUAAACUUUCCUUCUUCAAAAAUUUGUCUUUCAACUGGAGCUGAGUGUUUCCUUCUUUCUUUCCCAGGGGAGAAGCUUGUGUUUUGCUUUUCAUAAAUUUUUCUAGAAACUGUUCCCACACUCGCACCCACCAGAUACCAAGCCCCUCUGACCCUUCUCAGAUUGACCACGAAGGGUGGAUGCUGGGGCUGUGGUGGAAGUCACACAUUCUCUUGGAGUCCCCUGGGGUUCAGUGGGGGUGAGGGAGGGAGGGAUUUCUGCUCUGAGUGCAGGAAACCUGGAAGACUGAGGAUGAGCGAUGCUCUGGGGCUGCAUAAGAAGAAGCAAUACAACCCCAAGAGGGACAGUUACCCUGUCUCCAUUUCAAAGAUGAGGAAACUGAGUCUCAGUGUGUGUGUGUGUGUGUGUGUGUGUGUGUGUGUGUCUGAUGACUCAACCAAGACUGUGGUACAACAAAGAGAGAAAUGUAAAGUCCAGUCCAAGGACUCGGUCCCAUGCUUCUCUGCCUCUCUGACUGACCAUGCAAGUUUGUUAUUGUAUCAGUUAGCUAUUGGCACGUAACAAGCCACCCCUAAACGUAGUGUAUUAAAAUAACACCAUGUACUUAGUUCAUGAUCUCUGUGAGUCAGUAAUUUUGGCUGGCCAGUUCUGUUGAUCUUGUUUAACUUACUUGUGAGUCUGCAGUCAGCUGAGAUUUGGUGGCCUCCCUCACGAGACUGGUGAUUGGCUGGCUGUUGGCUGGCAUGAUGGGGUAACUGAACUACGUGGUCUCUCUUCCUCUAGAAGGCUAGCCCAGGCUUGCUUGUAGGAUGGUGGCUGUAGGUUUCCUGAGAGCAGCAAGAGAAGCAAUCCCCCCCCCCCCCCACAGCUCUCUUCAAGUCACUGCUGGCAUCACCUUUGUCUUAUUAUUUAGAGGAAAUCACCUGGCCAAGCUCAGGUACAAGGAGUGGAGGGAGACUUCGCCUCUUGAGGGAAGGAGCAGCAAAGUCACUUUGUAAGGGUGGAGGCACAGGGAGGGGAAAAACUUCUGUUCAUAUAUGCAACUGACCGUGGUUACAAAUAGCGCAGGGGAGGGAAUAGAGUCCGAGUGUAACCCCCAGUUCGGUGCCCAGGGUCCCGUUACUGCCCUCUGCUGCUGAUCAUGUCAUGUCUUGGGUUAACCAAUCUGCUCCUUCACCUUCAGUCGUUGGCAGAGAGCAAAGAACCUUGCAUGGUUGGGAGAUGGGACAUGGGAGAGAUAAGUUUUGGUGUGUGGGAAAAGAUGGGAAGGAAAGAAGAAGAGGCCAGGACUGCCUGGGGGUCCAGCAGAGUGGGACUGCUGUGGGGAGGGUGUAAGUGGUGGGAAUAGAGCUGAGAAUGCUCCACGACUCAUAUUCUGCCACAGACACUCGUCCUGGACACCACUGUCAACAGAACUUCCACCCUCUUUGAUUCCCUCUCAACUAGUUCCCAGGACCCUCCAGUUGUGGAGGAGCCCAUUGAUCGCAGCUUUCAGCUUAUUUUUUAAAUCAUUGAGCCAUCACAUACUAAAUAUACUACCCCUCUCAAGGCACUGGAAAUAUAAGUAAACGUGGAGGGGUCAGGCCUUACAAAAAGAGUGAAGCCCUUUGGAAUGAUGGAAAAUUAGACAACAUGCGUGGCCAGCGAGGACGUAGGGAAUUUGGGGCAAGUAGGUUGGGGUGGGUGGCAUUCUGUGAAACCUCCUGUAUUACCAGAAGUUUUUCACUAUAUUUCUUGGUAUACUAAAUCUGGGAGAUUAAGAGGGUCUACAACAGGGUCUUUAACCCAGAAGUGCAUAGAACCUGGAAUUCUGAACUUGAGAGUUGGAAGGAACCUUAGAGAACAACCGGGAGACCCCCUCCCCUUGAUAGGGUGCUUUAGGCUAAGAGGAAUGGGGUGGUAAAAGGACUUGGCAAAGGUACCAUGAGAGUGUGUUUGCCAAUAUUGGCAAUAUUGAGCAUUAGCAAUAUUGCACAGCCAAUAUUAGAAUUGUGAUCUUGUGACGCAAUGUGACUGGCAUUAUUGAGUGUCGUGUGUGUGUGGACACGGCUGUACUCAUGUCAACGAUCUCACUAAUUCCAACAACAACUCUGUAGUAGAUAUUAUUGGUGCCCAGGACACGGGACCCUCCCCCAGUAGCUACAUGCAUUGGCUACUGAGGGCUUACCUCUGGAAUCUUCUCUGGGAGAAUGAUGGGAGCCAAUCUUCUCUUGGCUGAUGGGAGCUGCCCUGUGGAAGAAGCCUGGGAGAGUAUAACCACACCUGGUUAUACUUACUGAUAUGGGGUGUAAUGAUUUUGGUCAAUGACUUACUGAUUUGGGAGUGUAACCGCUCAGCCUCCUUGUUUCUGGGAGGGACAACUCUGUGGUGCCAUCUGUACUCCAGAGCUCCACAUGGGGUCAGGCUUCUGAAGCUAGAUUCCAGCUGAGACCACAGCCCAAUUAAGCUCCGUCUCCUACCCUGUGUCCCUUACUUUCUUUUACCUGAGAACCCCUCUCUCCACCCAAUAACCUGUGCACACCCGCAUCCCUGUUUCAGGCUCUGCUUCUGGGAAACCUGACCCAAGAUGAAUCCUCCAUAGUAUUAGCUAGAAGUCACACAGCUUGUGAACGAUGUCAUCAGAACUGGACCCCAGAUCUUCUGACCUCCAAGUUUACACUCUCACCAGUUCAGCCCUGCCCCUUCUCGCCAUCUCUGGGGCCUCAACUUGUUAUGAUUCAUGGAUGAAACAAGACCCAGAGGGAGACAAAGGAGUUAGCGUUCAGUGGUUGAUGCUCAGGAAGCAGGAAGAGCUCUCAGGGAAGCCCCCUUCAGAACGAGAAUGGCGGAAGGCAAGGAUUUGUGCUUGCCAGAGCUGGGCUUUGUGGAUAUGUGAAAGGGCCUUCUAAGCUCCACUAAGUUCCUCUUAAAGUAUUGGGAAAACUCAGCGGUGUCCCACUCGAAGUCAUGGUGUGGGGACACGCACUUUAUGUCACACGGUGGCGAAGGCAGGAGCAGGACCCUUUCUGGGCUCCAGGAAAGGAGCUAUGGGUGGGGGGAUGAGAACUGAAGAGUCCAGACUUGCUCCCUUGUUUCCCUCUUGGUCAAAAUACUGGGGGUGGGGGAUGUGCGUACCAGAUGGGACAGGUUUGGAAACUCCAGAGCGGAUGGGAACACCUUGCCGUGCGCUGGGGAGGAGGCCAAGCCCUCCUCGGAGAGUGGCCUGCACCUCCAGGGAGAGGUCAUGACAAAGUAAAAAUGAUGGCGAGGCUUGGUUGUGUUGAAAGGCCCUGAGAUUUCCCUGCCCAGCCCUGCUCCAGCCUCCCAUGGGCCGUGUAGGGUUUGGAGGAGAUCCAGGAACAUGCCUGUGGCCCCUAGAGAGUGGCAGGGAGGGGGCUGAGAGGAGCAUGCCAGCUAGGGGACCACUGUGAGGUCAGGCAAGGGGACUCCCUGACCUCAUCCCUGACAGGAGCUGAGAAGUGGGCAGUGAAGUGUCAGGGGCCAGGUUGAGAGAACGGCUGAACCUCUUUUAAGGGCCUGUAGCCCCGUGACCGUUCAGACUGUAGCCCCAGUCGCCGGGCCUGGCUCAGCCUGGGAGGGACUGAGAUUGGGCUUGGCAACAGCAUCUCACUCAUUGGUCUGGCAUCUCCUGUUUGCAUCCGGAUGACCUCUCCUCACCGCACUAAUUUCCAGCAAGCUACUGGGGUCAGUACCAGUUCCCGGUAAUGACUGAUGUGGACAGCAGCCUGAGACCCCAUCAGCUCUUUAUUCAGCACCGAGGCAAGUCAAUGGGCAAACCCCGGCCAUUUUUUGCCAGAGGGCCAGCUGGAGAGUGGGCAGCCUCGGUGCUAUCGUGGGCGGUCCCAAUAUCACUUUCCUUUUCCUUUCUGAUCAAACUAACAAAUCCUUUUCCUCUGCCUUAGAGUUAGGCGUGGAGAGCACAAGGUGGCAGACAGAUGCCCCACAAAGUCCCCAGGACUCCAGUCUGAUGAAGAGAAGCAAAGCAGUCUCAGCGUCUGACAGAUUUAUGUUGCAGAGAUCUUUUACGCCCUGCUUUAAUCAGUGUGUCCUGAGCAGUAAGUCUGGAGUUAGCGGUCUCUGUGUUGUGCCACAUCCCACCACGGAUACCUUGCCUUCCUUCUCUACUUAAGCAGAACUACAUCCUUCAGAGACUUAUCCAGAUGGAAUCAGAAGUCA